AGGGGGAUAGCUCAGUAGUAGAGUGCGUGCUUAGCAUGCAUGAGGUCCUGGGUUCAAUCCCCAGUCCCUCUG
rnacentral:tRNA from 1 species